rnacentral:rRNA from 1 species
AAUAGAUACCCGGGUAGUCCACACCGUAAACGUUGGGCGCUAGGUGUGGGAUCCAUUCCACGGGUUCCGUGCCGCAGCUAACGCAUUAAGCGCCCCGCCUGGGGAGUACGGCCGCAAGGCUAAAACUCAAAGGAAUUGACGGGGGCCCGCACAAGCGGCGGAGCAUGCGGAUUAAUUCGAUGCAACGCGAAGAACCUUACCUGGGUUUGACAUACACCGGAAGCCUCCAGAGAUGGGGGUCUCUUUGAUACUGGUGUACAGGUGGUGCAUGGCUGUCGUCAGCUCGUGUCGUGAGAUGCUGGGUUAAGUCCCGCAACGAGCGCAACCCUCGUCCUAUGUUGCCAGCGGGUUAUGCCGGGGACUCAUAGGAGACUGCCGGGGUCAACGUCGGAGGAAGGUGGGGAUGACGUCAAGUCAUCAUGCCCCUUAUGUCCAGGGCUUCACGCAUGCUACAAUGGCCGGUACAAAGGGCUGCGAUGCUGUAAGGCGGAGCGAAUCCCAAAAAGCCGGUCUCAGUUCGGAUUGGGGU